rnacentral:rRNA from 1 species
GACGAACGCUGGCGGCGUGCUUAACACAUGCAAGUCGAACGAUGAUGCCCAGCUUGCUGGGUGGAUUAGUGGCGAACGGGUGAGUAACACGUGAGUAACCUGCCCCUGACUCUGGGAUAAGCGUUGGAAACGACGUCUCAUACUGGAUAUGAUCGCCGGCCGCAUGGUCUGGUGGUGGAAAGAUUUUUUGGUUGGGGAUGGACUCGCAGCCUAUCAGCUUGUUGGUGAGGUAAUGGCUCCCCAAGGCGACGACGGGUAGCCGGCCUGAGAGGGUGACCGGCCACACUGGGACUGAGACACGGCCCAGACUCCUACGGGAGGCAGCAGUGGGGAAUAUUGCACAAUGGGCGAAAGCCUGAUGCAGCAACGCCGCGUGAGGGAUGACGGCCUUCGGGUUGUAAACCUCUUUUAGUAGGGAAGAAGCGAAAGUGACGGUACCUGCAGAAAAAGCACCGGCUAACUACGUGCCAGCCGCCGCGGUAA